rnacentral:rRNA from 1 species
UACGUAGGGUGCGAGCGUUGUCCGGAAUUAUUGGGCGUAAAGAGCUUGUAGGCGGUUUGUCGCGUCCGCUGUGAAAAUCCGAGGCUCAACCUCGGACUUGCAGUGGGUACGGGCAGACUAGAGUGUGGUAGGGGAGACUGGAAUUCCUGGUGUAGCGGUGGAAUGCGCAGAUAUCAGGAGGAACACCGAUGGCGAAGGCAGGUCUCUGGGCCACUACUGACGCUGAGAAGCGAAAGCAUAGGGAGCGAACAGG